CUGGCGGCGUGCUUAACACAUGCAAGUCGCACGAGAACUCUUCUGCUUGCAGAAGAUAGUAAAGUGGCGCACGGGUGAGUAACGCGUGGGUAAUCUACCUCUAACUCGGGGAUAACAUCGUGAAAGUGAUGCUAAUACCGGAUAAUAUCUAAAUUGCUUCGGCAUUUUAGAUCAAGGGUGGCCUCUAUAUAUAAGCUACUGAUUGGAGAUGAGCCCGCGUACCAUUAGCUUGUUGGUAGGGUAAUGGCCUACCAAGGCUACGAUGGUUAGCUGGUCUGAGAGGAUGAUCAGCCACACUGGAACUGACACACGGUCCAGACUCCUACGGGAGGCAGCAGUGAGGAAUUUUGCGCAAUGGGGGAAACCCUGACGCAGCAACGCCGCGUGAGUGAUGAAGGCUUUAGGGUCGUAAAGCUCUGUCAAGUGGGAAGAACAAGCCUGAUGCUAAUACCAUCAGGAUCUGACGGUACCACUGAAGGAAGCACCGGCUAACUCCGUGCCAGCAGCCGCGGUAAUACGGGGGGUGCAAGCGUUAUUCGGAAUCAUUGGGCGUAAAGAGCGCGUAGGCGGCCCUUUAAGUCAGAUGUGAAAGCCCGGGGCUUAACCCCGGAAGUGCAUUUGAAACUAUUGGGCNUUGAGUAUGGGAGAAGG
rnacentral:rRNA from 1 species